rnacentral:tRNA from 1 species
GCGAAUAUGGCGGAAUUGGUAGACGCGCUAGAUUCAGGUUCUAGUGGGGAACCAUGCAGGUUCGAGUCCUGUUAUUCGCACCA